rnacentral:rRNA from 1 species
GAUGAACGCUGGCGGCGUGCCUAAUACAUGCAAGUCGAGCGAACAGACGAGGAGCUUGCUCCUCUGACGUUAGCGGCGGACGGGUGAGUAACACGUGGAUAACCUACCUAUAAGACUGGGAUAACUUCGGGAAACCGGAGCUAAUACCGGAUAAUAUAUUGAACCGCAUGGUUCAAUAGUGAAAGACGGUUUUGCUGUCACUUAUAGAUUGAUCCGCGCCGCAUUAGCUAGUUGGUAAGGUAACGGCUUACCAAGGCGACGAUGCGUAGCCGACCUGAGAGGGUGAUCGGCAACACUGGAACUGAGAAACGGUCCAGACUCCUACGGGAGGCAGCAGUAGGGAAUCUUCCGCAAUGGGCGAAAGCCUGACGGAGCAACGCCGCGUGAGUGAUGAAGGUCUUCGGAUCGUAAAACUCUGUUAUUAGGGAAGAACAAAUGUGUAAGUAACUAUGCACGUCUUGACGGUACCUAAUCAGAAAGCCACGGCUAACUACGUG